AAUGCGGAAGAGAUAAGUGCUGAAAGCAUCUAAGCACGAAACUUGCCCCGAGAUGAGUUCUCCCUGAGACUUUAGAUCUCCUGAAGGAACGUUGAAGACGACGACGUUGAUAGGCCGGGUGUGUAAGCGCAGCGAUGCGUUGAGCUAACCGGUACUAAUGAACCGUGAGGCUUAACCUUACAACGCCGAAG
rnacentral:rRNA from 1 species